rfam:Loxodonta africana unplaced genomic scaffold scaffold_4, whole genome shotgun sequence.
GCAUUGUUGGUUCAGUGGUAGAAUUUUUGCUUUCUAUGCAGGAGACCUGGGUUCGAUUCCCAGCCAAUGUA